UACGGAGGGGGCGAGCGUUGUCCGAAGUUACUGGGCGUAAAGAGCGCGUAGGCGGGAGAGCAAGUCUGCUGUGAAAGCCUGGAGCUUAACUCCAGAGGGUCGGUGGAUACUGCUUUUCUUGAAGGUGCGAGGGGGAGAUGGAAUUACCGGUGUAGCGGUGAAAUGCGUAGAUAUCGGAAGGAACACCAGUGGCGAAAGCGACUUCCUGGUCCAAUACUGACGUUCAUGUGCGAAAGCGUGGGGAGCAAACAGG
rnacentral:rRNA from 1 species